UCUCCCUUUCUCUUUUCGUUUUCUUUUUCUUUUUUUUAAUCUUUCUUUUAUUUUUGGAGAGAGAAAAAGUUAUUGAGGAGAGAGGUAUCGUUGUAUAUCUUUUUCUUCUUUUUUCUAGUUCCUUUUACUCUAUUCUUUUUGAAGCAUGUGAGAGGGUGUUAGUGGUAUUGUCAUGAAUGCUAGCUGUCACCAGUAAAGAAGAUAAGACCCCUUUUUUCUUUAUUACCAUUGGAGCCUAUCCAUUCAAGAGAGAGAGAUAUUUUUCUAAUUUUAUUUAUAUUCAGAUU
rnacentral:lncRNA from 1 species